rnacentral:misc_RNA from 1 species
AAAUUUUCUAAGAAAUUCAUCUGAUUCUCUUUUUGUUUUGAAAAUCUACCUACACAGUCUGCUAAUUCCAUUUCUUUCUGUUGUUGUUUUUGGUUACCUUCUUCUGUCAUCAUCUCUGAUUCUUAAUCCCACUUUCUCUGUUCUCUCUGCUACUAAAUUCCCAAAACCCUUUCAAAUUCUCUGUAAGACUCCUCCAUGAAGAUCCCCAAAGACAGAAUCCGAUUCAACGUUGGAGGCAGAAUCUUCGAGACAACCUCCACCACCUUGGCAAAUGCUGGCAGAAACUCUUUUUUCGGUGCAUUGUUUGAUGAUAACUGGGCUUUAAAACAGUCUAUCAAUGACUCCAAUCCUAAUAGUGAAUUCUACAUUGAUCGAAACCCCGAUUGUUUCGGUGUCCUCCUCGAUCUUCUCCGCACCGGCGAUNNNNNNNNNNNUCCCAUGUCCCGGAAAGACUCCUUCACCGGGAAGCCUCAUUUUACGGUCUGUUGAACCACGUAAGAUCUGCCAAAUGGGGCUCAUUUGAUGGAAACAGACUCCACCAUUCCCGGUCUGUCACUGGCCGGGCACCAGGGGAUGGUACCGCAAUUCGUGCAGGUCCGGACGGUGGGUGCUGUGUGGCUCAUGGAAGUAUGGUGCAUGUUUAUGAUUGGAUGAUGGAAGAACACCCGCCUAUUAAUCUUGAUUACCAGAGAGUGAACGAUGUGGCUUGGUUGGAUUCUGAGAAUGUGAUGCUUAGUGCCUGUGAGAGAUUAGGCCGAGGAGAUGGAGGAAUGGGGCUGUUCAGUAA